UGAACACGUGUUUUUGUGGAUUUUACAAGUUUCAGCUGAGGAUAAAACUUAACAGUGGGUCCAUUUUGUGUAAUGAGGUUUUAGUUGGAGUUGUCUUUCUUGGUGUCGCUGAAGGCCAGGGGAUGUAAAAUGUCAUUUUCAUUUAUUGUUUUCAUUUAUUGUUUCAUAAUGCAGGCACUGUGAAGCCGUUUGAGGCUCUAACUGCUUCUGGUGAGCAGAGCACAUAAAGUUGACUUAUACCUCAAUAAGACUACUGCAUGAAAACACAAGUGUAGGGUCCAUAGGUUAUUUCUGACCAAACAGUCAGAAUCAAUGCGUGUGAAAAGCUGCUGGCUCAGGUUUGAGUUUGGUGUGAAGGCGGGAGUUCUCUACAUCUGUCUUGACAUUUUUAAACUACCUCUCAGAGCGGGAGAUUGAUUGUGGGAGUCUGUUAAGUGAGCGAAAAGCAAAUCUAUAACCUUCCCUCAUAAUACCUCUGCUGGUCCAAGGGUCUAUCAGCCAGACUGACACCUGAGAUUUUUCUGAAAUUGCAAAUUUAUCCUCACAUUACAGAGCACAGCCAGCUGUGACCUGACACAGUCUGGAGCCCCCUCAUUUACUCUUGAAUAACAUUUUGAUCAAGUGAAAGAUUUGCAGGGUUUUGACAUGAAAUUGAUGUCCUGUUAAAAAAAAAAAAAAAAAAAGAGGGAAAAGUGUGCUGCACUGAUAAAAAAAUGUGUGAAAGUUGAGUCUGUAUGUCAACCAUGUGAUAGGCUGUUGAGCUAUUGAGCUGUAAACCUCUGUAUGACCCUGUACAACUGCCUGCUGAGAUGCCCGCAUGCCUUCAUAGUGUACGAUAAAUGGAAAACAUAGAGUUGGCCUAAUGGAGGCAUCAUGCAGCAUGAUGCCCUGCAAGACUCCAAAACAUUAACGACAUCCAAAGCCUGAAAAACAGUUUUGGUAUGAAUCCAGUGAAAGGUUUUAAUAGAGAUAAGAGAGAUGAUCUGCAGGAAAACAUCCAAAAACACUCACAUAAAACAGUCAGUCCUGGGAAGCGCUCUUUUUAACUGCCAUCAUUUCAGUCGGAAGUUCUGUGUGUGCUAGCUUUUAUAAAAGCCAUAAAAAGAUCAGCACAAUUACUGGAAGGAAGUCCCAUUUUGUGCCACUCAUGCAUAACUGAUUUAAUCAGCUCUCAUUUUCCAGAGAACUACAUUUUGAUGAUCCAUUAAAAAAAAAGUGGAUUAGAUAACAUUAUCUACUUCUAAAGGUAUUUCCAGGACCCUUGAAUUUCCAUGAGAUGAUUUGGGUUGCACGAAGUAAUUAAGCUCAUUUAUGUUUUCCUUAAAAGCAGUAGUAGCAAGAGGAACCCUCACUGCAUGUGCUGAUUAACAUUAACCGAAACCACAGCGCUUUAUGUUGGAAGAUUUAAACACAGCAGAGCACCAUGGGGGGUGGGAUAAUCAUGAAUACUUACAAUAUUAUUUCAGGGGAGGCAAAUUGAAAAAAAAGGUUGCAUGAUUCAAAGAUUGAGAAGAUUUUUUGUACCCACAACCACCAGACUUCUUAAUUCUUCUAGAAAUAGUGGAUUAGAUCAGAUUCCAGACAAACGAAUUCCCCUUUGGGGAUCAAUAAAGUUUUUUGUAUUGUAUUAUAUUGAUGAAUCGUCAACAUGGUGUCAUGUUUUCAAGGAAAUACAAGCAACAAAUAUUUCUUAGAAUAUCCAGGAAAAUCUUUUUUGCUUGUUUUUGGCCAAAUACUGAUACUAUAUAUUUUCUGUGCUGUUUGUGUAAAACUGAAAAUACUUGGUCAGUACAAAUGACUUUUCCAUCCUAUUUAAAGCGAUUUUCUGGCCCUGUAACACUGAGUUGAGAGAUAAAUGUUGCCGACCGUUUGCUUCUCUAGUUAUACCAACUUUAGUAACGACCGCAGGAUAGCAAUACACAGCGGUCUGAGGAGCCAUGAACAAACCUCAACCAAAACGCCACUCUAUAACCACAAAUAAUGCUCAGAACAGCACCUAACUUCAUCAACAGUACAUAUAGGGUCAUAUAGGGUAUAUAUAGGUUGUUUGGAGACCUCAGACAAGUCCAUCACCGACUGCAGCAGGGUGAUGCAGCUCAAGGAAUAAAGAUACAGAUAGUGGGGGAAAAAAAGACUUACAGCUUGGGAGAAAGUUUUUACUGUAAACGCAAUCGAGGAUGCACAGAUUUCCUUCAGGGUGGUAGCAAUUAGUUAAAGAGCGUCUGGAUUUUUAAAGAUAAACAUAUUUAUAUUUCAAGGAAACAGGUGCUUAAGUCUGUGACUCAUUCACUGCAGUAAGACAUUAGAGGCAGUGAGAUGUGGCUCCGUUGAAGACAAGGCAUUUGAUUUUUAUGAAUCACAAUGGUACAUCCAGUCACCUGGAGCACAGUGCACCAGCUGUGUGCAAUUUUUAUGCCAGUGAUGGAGCAGGUUGGAAAGUCAGACCAGUCUAUAUGUAAGGUAAAAGCCAACAGUUAGACAACUUAAAAGAAAAGUACGCUCGCUGUAUCGUUUUUUUUCAAUAACUAGCGAAAUAAGAUUAGGACACGAGAGUAAAUCCAUGAUCAGGCACUGCUCUGUGCUGAUCUGAUUUGAAGUUUUGAUUAUCAAGCAGGCUCUGCUACAUUUAAUGAAAGCACUCUCCCCUAAACUACAGCAUGUGUCGGACUAAAAACAGAAACCUGCCCUGCAGGAGCUGAGCGCUGUCAGGUUUUAUGUAAAUGAGGCUGUCAGCUGGAGGCUGUCAAUGCUGUCCACUUUCUGUGAAUGUGGCAGAAAUCUCUCUAAAUAUAUUAAUGACUAUGCUGCUUUGAAAUCGUGGCUGUGGUAAUGGACAUCCCCAAUUUCCCUGUCAGUUGCUUUUUUUAGUUGGUGAUGUUCAUUUUACAACUUUUUUUUCUUUUUUUCUUUUUUUUCCUUUUUUUGUGGCACUGUAAUUUGCACAUCUUUCCUCUAUUUUUAGAUUCUGAGCUGCUUGAUUAUACCAGACAUCAAAUUGCAAUUAUUUUGAUUAAAUUAGGAAUCACAGUUUAAAACACAAAAACAUUUCUCAUUGUUUGACCUCUGCAUCAGAUGCAUUUAUGCAACUUAAAACCCCUAAACACUUCAAAUUUCCAAAACAUAACUUGAAAAGAAAACCUUUUUUUUUUGUUUUCCUAAUCACGCCUGCUUGUCCAACUGAGUCAUAUACAUUUCAGAAAAUUAUAUACAAGAGUAUAUACAGAGUGUGCAUCUGUUCUUCACUCUACUUUGAGAGUGUUGUUAGCCUGUUAGCUUUCAUGUGUGCUUGAGAUUCCUGCAUUCCCUCUGCUGUCAUCUUGUCCCUUUAGCUUUAUACAAACACCUCUUCCUCCCUUUCCUCUUCCUGCUCUCUCCUCUCUACCUGUGGCUGCAUGAUAGCUCAUAUUGGUGUUUCCCCUUGCUCGUUAAUACUGUUAUUACUAACACACACUUGAUCUUCAUGCUCUCACUCCCAGUUUUGAUUUAAGAGAUGCUCUGUUGUUAAUAUCAAGCCUCUUCAUCACGUGGGUUACCUGUGACCUAAUGAGAUGUACUGUUGAUAAAUAUCGUCAGCAGAGAGGACACAUCCAGGAUAAAAAGAAAGGAAGAGGCGGGGUGGGAGAAGCUGCUGUGUGAGAGGUGCAUAGCUGUAGAGUUUUCUAUGAGUGGAGUAUGUGUUUUAGAUGUCUACAAUUGCUGUCAAUUGUUUUCUUGAUCACUGGAGUGCCAAAGUCGUGAUUGUGUUCAAAAUUGUUUUGUUUUGCAGCCUCAGUUAGAUUGGUGGCUUUACACUUGUGAAGAAUAUCUAAUAGUUGUUCCUG